AAGGCAUCUUUGGGUUGUCGUUUCGUAGCACUCCGGCUACAACCGGUUGGUUCUUUCAGAUUGCUGGAAUCCAACAUGGAGCACCCACCGAUGACGUCGGGGGCAAUUGCGAGAUCCGGCCGGUUUUCGGUCACAAUACAUUAGAGCUACUUCCUGGACUGCCGUAUCGGAACUUGCACGAAGCGUGGUGACCUUCUGUGCAGACCUUUUUACUCAAAGAGCAACCCCGCCAUACCAUGACACCUCAAUUCAUCGGCUAUGUGAUGGACUACAUUUAGCGUGGGUUAUUGGGAUUUCAUAAUAUUAAAUGCUUCAUUAUUAGUACUAUACAUCUUUUUGGGGACCUAAAUAAUGGCAGUUAUGUGCACUACAAUGUCCCCAG
rnacentral:lncRNA from 1 species